CGGGACUCGAUCCCAGGACCCUGAGAUCAUGACCUGAGCUGAAGGCAGCGGCUUAAACCACUGAGCCACCCAGGCGCCCAAUGCUGCUUCCUUUGUGAGGACUUCCUGCCCUGCCCAGGAAAAAGCAAUGCCAUCCCCCCACCCCCAGUGCCCAUAAAUAGCACUUUCUCCUUCCCCUGCUAUAACAUUUUUCACACUGUGUUAGAGUUCACAUUUCUCUCUGCCUCAUUGCGACCCAUUCGAGUGCCAGGAUUGUGUGUUAUUCUAGUGCUUGGCACACAGGAAGAACUCAAUGAGCAUUUGUUGACUAAAUCUAGACUCAAGGUCAUCCAAGAUAUUAUACAAAAACUUUUCCAUCUGAACUGUUUGGUUUGCAUUGUGGAAAGUGAAACAAAUGAAAGCUGUUGUGAGAAUCCCAGUGAAAAGUCUCAUCAUUGCAGAAGGAAGCUUGGAACUCCUUAACCAGGUCCUCUCUCCAGUCGCACCCCUCCCCUUAGCUCCCCCUCCCCAGUCAUCCCUAGAAUUCAGUUUUUAAAUUUUGCUGUGAUGGGUUAAUUUCAGUGGUAUUUAUUUUGGCAAAUAUUUAAAGGUAAUUUUUAUUUGUGAGAACUUUUCUUUCUUUGCUGUUUGCCAUAAAGGUGUCACCUUUCAUUCACCAACCUUUCAUCAGCUUGUAAGAAUUUUCCUUGUGGGCGGCAGCUUGUAACCAGCCUCUUUACCACCAGAGAUCUGGUACACUGAGCAGUUGGCGAUGCUACAGUGAUCAGCUGCUUGUAAACUAUAACUGACAAACAAUGAUGAAUUAUUAUAUAGACACAUUUCAGAUAAGUGACCAUAUGAAUAAUUGAUGAUAGUAAACGUCCGUAAUUUGUGCAAAUCCAGGAUUGUGUCUGAAGCAUGUAUGUGGCCUGGUCAGGAAGGAGUUUAAGUUAACAAACACGGAUAGAACUUUCCAUCUGUGAGUGUUGCGCCAGUGAAUGACACAGCCUGUUUGCUGCUGCAGGUGAUCUGCAAAUGUCCUCAGGAAUUUAACUGUGCACCUUCUUUGGGGAGGGAGCUCCAAGGCCAACAACAUGAGGGUGGAAGUGUGUGACUGUGAAUAAUAAAAAUGCCUCACAAGAGUUUGAACAGGAAGUCCAUAGGAAUGCAAUAUAAGGAAUUUAAAAAAGCAAAAUUCCAUUUGGAUUCAUUCCAAACCCUAUGACUUCAGGGACUGAGGAAUUCUUGAUGACUCGUGGCUGGAAUCCCAACUUGUUAUUAAGCCGGGUGGAAUUGUUUUUCCUUUAGCACCAGUCAUGAACUCUUUGUUUGUUUGUUUACUUUCCUGAAAGUCUUAAAGUGGUUUACAAAUUAAGACACUAAGACAUUAGACACUUAAGGACACAGCAGUAAAGUAAACCUUUGGGGUGAUACAUUUGGUAUUGAACUUUUCAACUGCUAAAUAAGAGAGAGCGAUUGGCCCAAAAUAAAAGAUACAGGGUCACAGACACAUAUACAGAAUUAUCCCAGUGGAAGUCGGGCAUCUGUAACCUUCUGUGACCAUAGUGAGUGUGUCCAGAGAGCCCCGUUUCCUUAGUGCAGUUUUAAUUUUGGUGUCUCUGGUACAGCAUGUGCCUUCGACUUUCCCAUAUUUAAGGUGCUCAUCUCACACAUGAUUGUAAUUGUUUAUAAUAUCAGUGACAUGGCUGGCAGCUUUGCAGUAACCCACUUUAGAGCACCAGUUGUCCUAAAAGCUUUGGGAAGGGGGAGGAGGGCAAGCUGGAACUGGCAGCUAAGGUUAUGGGAGUGGAGCUCUAGUUUUCCAUGAUGCUUUGUUGGCAAUGAAAGGUUGACAAUUUUAAGCAAGGUAAUUUUUUUGUGUGUCCACUGAUGAUUUUCCUGUAACUCUUCAAAAAUAUAUUUUUUACUUUUAGGUGGCUUCAUUACUGUUAAAAGUUUAAAAGUCAGCUUCCAGACAUUGGGAAGUUGUUCCCGUUCAAGUGUUGGCCUUCUUUAAGACCUCAUCAGCAGACAGUGUUUAACUUGAUGCUGGAUACUGCCCAGAUAGAGGCAGGCGUAUCGCAAAACCUGUGGCUCUUUUGUUAAUCUGAGGUAGAAGGUGAAGGACCCAGAACUGUUCUUGUGGCUAGAGGAGACUGUUGACUCUCAGUCUUUAAUAAAAUAAAUGAAUGGAGGCGGAGAAUGGGGAAACACACUUGAAGGAGGGAGGGCCCCUCUUGUUGAAAGCCAAAGUAAACAGUUCUGUAACUGAAAAGUAGACUAUCAGGAAGGUGAGAACCAGAGAAGUAGGUGUCAAGUGCAACCAGCAAGUACCGUUUUCAGCUACAGAGAUAGCCAAGUUGCCCUGAGUCCCCCCCCCCCCAAAAAAAAAACCCUCAGCGGUCUUUAGGGGAAAUCAGUUUCCUAACUGGCCUUUGAUGAGCCUACAGCUGGACCCAGGGACGGGGCUGGGGGAGAAAAAGGUCCCCUUUCUGCUGGAGAAAGCAAACAGAUGUGGCUCUCUGAAGGGUAGAGAUGAAGUCACCAUGACCGAGGGAAAACUGUGUGGGGGAGCCAGUGGACUGGCAGAACGUGGUGGACAGCAUCCCUGCGUCGGUGCAUGAUUUUAGAGUUAAUGGAAACAGACGUUUUCUUUCUGUCUUUUGUUACAGUGGAAAACUGUGUCCUUAAGUGGACAGCUGCACACACAUUGCAGGUGAUGUGAUGUGUGCGUGUGCUUACACACUCACACUGACACAAAUUCCUUACAGGGCACAGUCUUGCCCUGAUCGUCUCUUUGUGUCCGUUUUACUACUAUGAUAACAUUUUCUUCUAAGUGGAAUGUUAUGUUAGACUCUGUUCAUCCCAACAGAAGAAAAAAUUCUGUCUCUGGCCAUCCUUCAUUAAUUUAUGUGCAUAAAGACCUGUAGAUUGUCGCCCAAGAGGCUUAUAUAAAGCUCUGGGCAUCUCCUCCCUGUGUUGCUUCUUCGUAGUUAGGAUACCUUGUCUGAUGUAGAGCUGCUGAUGUCUUGCUCAUGCCAAGGAGACCAUCGGAAAGGACUGAUACAGAAAUCUCUUAGAACUUUUUAUACUCCAAGAUUCUUGGAACUUAGUUGCAUGUGGGAAAGGGUCUUACCCUGUAAAGAGGGAAAAAAAGCCCAAGUCUCUUGAAUGGUCACUUAGAAAGGUCUUACCUAAAUUCCUUUUCUGUAAUUUUAUUUCUUGAAUAUUUUAUUUCCCUUGACUAGCUGUAUAUGCUAGGGCGAGAAACUAGGUCCACGGUCUUAAAAACACAACAUAACUUUACUAGGCAGUUUGGAAAAUAGAGAAGAGAAACAAUGAUCCAAAAAUGCUUUUGCUCCAAACCUAAGAACUAGUUUUGUGCUAUUGUGUAUGUAUAUACCUCGUCUGGUCUUCCUCUGUAUACAUACAUUUUUAAAAUCAUACAUCUGUAUAUUGCUUCUUUCCAUUAAAAUUAUAUCAAAUGAUAUCUCACUACUAUAAUUUAAGCUUAUUAACCAAGAUGUGCUGGCUGCAUCUUUCUACUUCAUUUUCCUUAUUGCUUUCCUUUCAGGACUAUAUAAAAGGCAAAAAGGGAAAGAAAAAAAGAAAGCACCACUUCUGGUGAAUUUAAGGCAAAAUUCUUUGUAGUCUUAAUUUGUUUCCAUGAGUUACCUAGACUCUCCAAACAUGAAAACAAUUGUCUUCUCUCCCUCACUGAGGAUUUGACCACUUGCUACCUGUGUCUGUAGCCCUUUGUGUCCGGGGAUGUGGCAUGAAGAUGGUGGCCUUUAGCUGUUUUGUCAUCUAUCUUUGCUACCACCAGGACCAUGUUGACUCUGAGGACACUGAAGGUUUUUUUAACCUUUUCCUCUGUUAACUAAUGAUUUGUUGGCUUUGUGCAAAUAGCCAGCCCUCUGGGUAGGGACAUUUUUAUGCUGUUGCUUUUUUUGCAAUGCAUUAUUGGAUUGCAAAUACUUAUUUAGAGCGAAAGAUGGAUAUAAUUAACUACAUCCUAAAUAGAUACUAGAUACUGACUUCAAGAUGAAUUUGCAGCCUUUGUGCUUUGCAUGCAUGAGACAUAGGCUCUUGUUACCAAGGAUCUUACCUGAGAAUUUAAGUUUUCCACUUCCACCAAUUUAUAAAUGAAAACCGGAGGCCUAGAAGUUAUCCCAUGAGGCACAUGCAUAAAAUUUGGAAAACCUUGGAUCACUUUUGGAAUUAAAUUUGUUGAAAUUCUAUCAGGAAAACAGACCUUUUUUUCCUUGUGUUAUUUUUGGCUGAUAUAUUAAUAGUUUUUACAACUCAGAUACUGGUUGCCUAUUCAAAACGUAUAGAUAGCAUCUGUUUUAAUAUUUCAGAUUGAUUUCUGUAGUCUUUGUUUAAAAAUGUUUCACUCAAAACCAGUUGUACAAACAGUAUUGAAAACCAGAUCUCCAGGCUUCAGAUAUAUUUUAUAUAAAUUUGAAGUGCUUUUUGGAUUAUCAAAAGGAAGACACAAAUUUUGAUUACCUCUUUAAGUUAAAUGACUGUUUCUGAAAUAUAAGUCUUUCAAAAUUUAUAAUUCCUGCAUGUGAUCACUACCAGUCAACAUUUCCAGUCCAGAAAAUACUGGAGAUUUCUCUGGCUGCUGCUUGGUUGGAAAGAGAACCCAGGAACAUGCCACUAAACCACAGUAUCUAGUUCAGUAAUGCAUUUGCACAGCUGGAUUUUAACACAUAUUGGGUCAACAUUUAUUUAAAAUAAACACACUUUGUACUGAAAAAGCAAUUUGAAGGUGAAAUCACAUUAGAUUUAAUAGUUUAACCCUGGGUAUUUAUGGAAUUUUAGGUAAUUUUAUGGGACAGUAGCAUAUUAAAGUCAAGUGUACAACAUAAAAUCUUUUUAAAAAUUAAUUAAAGCACAAAGGUUAGUAGAUACAUCCAACAGUAUUAAAGCAAAUAUUUGACACUCGCCACCAGCACCAAAAUAUGUGUGCUGACAUUGGGUCUUUAGGGUGAAUAAAAAUCUGUGAGAAAGCUGCUAGCUUUUAGGGAAAAGGUUUGUCGGGGGGGAAGGAGCAUGGGACUGUCCUAAGCUUUGGCCCUAUGUAAGGCCUAUAGUUCCUCUUGUAACAAAUUUAUAAAAUUUAUUUAAGUCUUUUCAUCAAUAGAUUAUCUUCAGUACUAAACAGUUAAUCAUUAAUCAGCUGAUCUUUAUUAUCAACCAAAACCACUUGUGUUUUCAUUACAAAUGCUUCUUAACAAUGUGGUUAUAAAUGUUUAAAUCAAUGGAUAAUGAAAUUGAUUUGUAUGUUCCUUGUCCUGUGGUAGAAUGUAAAGCGUCUGGCUUUUGGAGAACAUUUCAGCAGCUGGCGAGGGCUAGUACAGUGCCCCUGAGCUGCAUAUUUUUUUUUUUUUUUUUUUUUUUGCUUACAGAGCUCUGGAACUUGGCCAGCUUCGAUGAGGCAGAGGAGGAAGGGUUCACGUUUGAGAGCCCUGGGUUUAUUUCUGGCUGUUCAGAUGUGAGGCAGUGGGAGAAGGUAUAAAUAUAGUUUGAGGGAGGUUGCAGACUCAGAGGUUCAAGCCAGGGGUAAAUGGUGGAUGGAUGUGUUUAUCAUUUCUUCACACUUUUACCUCUCAGAGGUGGUGCUCCCAAGGGACAGCGCUCAAGGUCUGGAUCUAGUGUGGCGAGUGUCUUGGAUGUCCCCCCGAACCAUAGUCGAACCAUAGCCGCUCUGUCCCUUUUCUUUCCGAAUUUGUAGUCAAAUAACUAACUUCCUGACCUCCCGUGAGACUUGAGUUUUAAGAACAAAACACCAUGCGUCUUGGAGAAAGGCAGUUCCGUGAACGCUGAAUGCCUGUAGCAUUUGGGGCUGGAGUUGUGGGAGGUACUACCUUGUACAUAAUACGUAGGAUAGGAGGAUGUUCCAAAUUAAAUAACCAUGUAACUCAGUAACCGUGUGCUGUGACUUAAUCAGACGCAACACACCCAGUUGUUGCCUCUGUGUGCACAUCACCAGCGCUCCGUGCACCCAGAGAGAGAAAGAGAGAGAAGGGUAGACACAGACCACUGGAGCCCCAAGCCUCCUCCCUCUGUCCCCCCCACCCCCGAGUCUUUUUCUCUUUAUGGGUUGGUUACUGAUCUCCCCUGGGCAGGUCUGAGUCCCUUUCUCUCAUACCCACUCUCCUUGAGGAAGUCCCACUUCCAGCUGCCGCCCUCACUCAACCCACAGCUCUGCACGCAGGUACCCUCUGCCCUUAGCAAUUUGGGGACACUGCCCAGCCAGCCUGACCACUGCUCUCCUCAUGGUGCUUCUGGCCUCACUCCAAGCACUGGCGCUGCCUCCUCAGCCCCGUGGCUUCCUUCCCGGAUGAGCAGUCACUAUCGUCUUGGGACAUUUUACCCAUACGGCUAGCUUGUGUUCCUUCCAUUUGCCAGGGAGCAUGGAGGAUGCAGUCUCAGGAAACCUGCCCAGAGGAGAUGACUUCCUCAGGAGAAAGGUAGUUGCUAAAUGAGUUCCUUAAGGAGAAACCACGUUUAUCUGGGGGAGGCAGUAUUAAGUACUAGCAGGGGUUCAAGCCCUGAGGUCAGUUCAUAGUCCAUCCUAGUGACUUACCUGGUGCCUUACCCUGCUGAGCUGCUUGACUUCUGUGCAUGUUUUCCAUCUGUAAAAUGGGAAUAAUAAUAGGGUCUACCUCACUGAGGUGGCUAUGAGCCAGACCUAAGCUAACUCAUUUGUGUACAGCAUUGCAAUACUAACUUGUACAUAAUAAGCAGGUGGUAAAUGUUAGUUGUCAUGGUAGCUUUUUGUCCCUCAGCUUUGUACACUAUGGUCUGUACAGAGCAGGGGUUCAUUAAAUGUUUUGUUGAUUAAACGUAAUAAUAUUCUGAAGGUGGAAAGAAAAUGAUUCCCCCCCCCUUUUACCAUAAAAUAAAAGUGAUAAUUUGGUUGCAGUAAGACACUGUCCACAUGAAGAUACUUACCCCCUGGCUGGGGGGCAGGAUAGGAGGAUGUUCCAAAUUAAAUAUCAGUAACUGUGUGCUGUGAUUCGUUAAUCAGACCCAACACACACAGUCUCUCAGUAGUUUGGUUAAUGUUUACUGGCUCACAAGAUAAUUUUGAAAGGAAAAAAACCGCUUAAUAGUGAUUUAUUUCCAGUAAGCAUUGUUACUGACACAUUUUAGAUUCCAGCAUAUUUGAUGACUGUAUUAAAACCGGCUCUGCCCUUUGUGGGUUCACUCUGUUCUGACUUAUGUUUGCUUUGGAGGUGGAAGAUGGGUAGAAAGAUGCUCUGUAAUUGAAGAGGUCAUUGCUUCUUUGUCACUGCCUCAGUGCCUACAGUGGUGCCAACAAAGAAGUACUUGCUCAGUAAAUAAUAUUUGCAGUUAAUUAGUAAAUUGAUGGCACAUUUUUCUUCACAUUACAUCACACUGAAGGCUCGAAGGUACCUGUGAGGAGGUCUUGUUUGUGUUUUUCCCCCCAGGCAGGUGCCCUAAGGUGAUGGUCUCUUGCUGUUGGGCGAUAGACCAUUGAAUGUGAAGGGCUGCUGUCAGAGUCACUGCCCAUCUACCCUAAGAAGAACAAAUGGUCCCCAAGGGGUCCUGAUAGAUGGUGUGGGAAGGAGCACUGCCACUCCUCUCUCAUGAGGCACCUGAGCCAUCCUCAGUGAAGAUCACAGCUCUAGCAAUAAGAGGUCUUGGUAUAUUCCAGAAUUUUUUUCUUUCGACCAUUAAGGUUCUCCCUUGUUACCCAACUUAAAAAAAAAAUAAAUUUUAUUUCAGUGUCA